GUUUUCUGGGAAGUCCAGACUGUAGACUGGAGACUCUGAUAUUGAGGAGCUGUGUUUUUUCAGCGAUCAGCUGUGCUCCUCUGGUCUCAGCUCUGAAGUCCAACCCCUCCCAUCUGAGAAAGCUGAACCUGUGGAGCAACAACCUGAAGGAGUCAGACGUGAAACAGCUGUGUGAGCUGAAGGAGAGUCCAGACUGGAGACUGGAGACUCUGGAAUGGGAGUGAUCUCCGUUAAAGUGAUCAGAAGGAGGAGGAUGUGUUGAAGGACCAGCUGAGUCCUGAUGAUCCCGAGAGCUUGAAGCAGCAGCAGCACCUCUAACUGGGCCAUGUUACUGGGAGGUAGAGUGGAGAGACUGACUGAGGCUCUGCACGCUUCCACAUUAGUAACAGCACGUGGCCAUGAAAGAAGUACUGUAUGUUGGGCAAGUUAAUUGGCCGAUGACUUUGACUUAAGACCAAUGACUUGAACAGACUUGUCUUUUUAUUAAUGUAACGGCCGUAUUCUUUUUUUCAAGUUAUUGAGAAGUUACGUUUUGUUCUUGAAAUAUCUUCGUGCUAUACGCGCCACCCUGCUAAGUAGCUAGGCAACCUUCCAGAGCGUGGCAGACCAGCACAGACAAAACGUAGGAGGCAGCCGUCAUGGAAGGGAUAACGCCCCAAAUAGUGAAAUUCAGGUUUAAGGAGUUUGUAGUCGAUGCUCCUUGUAAAAAAGAGAACAGCAGUGUGCAAGGAUUGCAACUCCAAAAAGACACGAGAAACACAACAUCCAACUUCAUCCGUCAUUUCAAGCAACACAAACAAAGGUACAUAAUUGUGUCUUUUAGCUAACGUUAACAGUAAUAAACCGACCGAUAAAACUUUAGCUAGUUUAGUUUUAACUCAACCUUAAUGUCACUUCAGACUCGGUUUCAAAUCUAUUGCUUAGACAUUUAGUAUAUGUCAAAGUCAAUUGGUGACCGAUUCAGGGCCAUUAAAUCAAUGUAUGCGUAGUUAAAGGAGAACUCCGGCCAAUUUUUACGUUCAUCUUGAUCGCUAUAAAUAUGCGAGUACUGUCGAUAGAAAAAACAACAAGCCGAAUUGGUGCUAGCAACACGGAGUAGCUGAAGCAAGGAUGCCGGUGGGGCCUGCUAGCCCGGCCAAGGGAACUACCACACAGACCUCCACUGCCAAGCCUCCUACUCCCCAACACCAGAACAAUCACACACAAAAUGGAUAAGCUACAAAUACACAUGGAACUGCUGCGUGAUGAUUAUCACCAAAGCCUGGC